rnacentral:misc_RNA from 1 species
GUUGCAUUCAGAAAUGCAGCUGAGGAGAUUGGAGCUGAGUUCUUUCAUGAGUUGUUUGAAUCUUCAUGGAUUGUUUUAGAUAAAGGUGCAGUUAAUAAUUUUAUGAUUAGAUUAACUGAGAAGCUAUGAUGGAGAACUCUGUCUACUGUCCAUGAUGGAGAACUCUGUCUACUGUCCAGUUACAUCUCUCUCUCUCUCUCUCUCUCUCU